rnacentral:rRNA from 1 species
GUAGGUGGCAAGCGUUGUCCGGAAUUAUUGGGCGUAAAGCGCGCGCAGGUGGGUUCUUUAAGUCUGAUGUGAAAGCCCCCGGGCUCAACCGGGGAGGGUCAUUGGAAACUGGGGAACUUGAGUGCAGGAGAGGAAAGUGGAAUACCACGUGUAGCGGUGAAAUGCGUAGAUAUGUGGAGGAACACCAGUGGCGAAGGCGACUUUCUGGCCUGUAACUGACACUGAGGCGCGAAAGCGUGGGGAGCAAACAGGAUUAGAUACCCUGGUAGUCCACGCCGUAAACGAUGAGUGCUAAGUGUUGGGGGGUUUCCGCCCCUCAGUGCUGCAGCUAACGCAUUAAGCACUCCGCCUGGGGAGUACGGUCGCAAGACUG